rnacentral:rRNA from 1 species
AAAUUGAAGAGUUUGAUCAUGGCUCAGAUUGAACGCUGGCGGCAGGCCUAACACAUGCAAGUCGAGCGGUAGCACAGGGGAGCUUGCUCUCUGGGUGACGAGCGGCGGACGGGUGAGUAAUGUCUGGGAAACUGCCUGAUGGAGGGGGAUAACUACUGGAAACGGUAGCUAAUACCGCAUAACGUCUUCGGACCAAAGAGGGGGACCUUCGGGCCUCUUGCCAUCGGAUGUGCCCAGAUGGGAUUAGCUAGUAGGUGAGGUAAUGGCUCACCUAGGCGACGAUCCCUAGCUGGUCUGAGAGGAUGACCAGCCACACUGGAACUGAGACACGGUCCAGACUCCUACGGGAGGCAGCAGUGGGGAAUAUUGCACAAUGGGCGCAAGCCUGAUGCAGCCAUGCCGCGUGUGUGAAGAAGGCCUUCGGGUUGUAAAGCACUUUCAGCGGGGAGGAAGGCGGUGAGAUUAAUACUCUCA